AGAAAUAUAUCGUAAGACAAAGCUGGCAUGUCGCACAUUUAUAAAUUAUAAAUUACAAUUAUAAAACGUAAUAUUAGUUUGCUUGCAAGGUGGAUAGCUGCUUUGGCAAGCUGAACCGGAAUCAUACAGUAGAAUAGGUGUGUGCAGUACGACCAAAGUUUUGACUUUGACUUUUACUUGUGUUGUUUCAACUGUUGUUUCAUUGUAAUAUUUAUCAGAGAAAGAAGGAUCUCCAUGAAAUAGGAAUGGUAGGUUUGGGUAAGAGAUUCAAUGUGUUUAUGCAUGCUUUGUAGCUUUGUCCUGUCAUCCAUCCAUCGCUGCCUAGCUGUGGCUUUCAUCCUGCACCCCCUGGUAUACUGGCACUGGGCAAAUUUAUAGCAUUACUGUAGAUGCACUUUCUAAUGUACAUCACUAACAACCAUAAUAACUAUGGCACCUAUUUGGGCUGGGCUGCUUGUAAUCGUAGUUACACAGCACAAACACUCAGGGUUUUUUUUUUUUAACUUUAUUUUAGGUACGUCUCUGCAAAGGCAAUCCUGCUGUCAUAGAGGUCCUACACCCGCUCCCCCCGCCUCCACCUCCCACCACCGCUGCCGGAGAAGAGGAGGGACGGGCCCAAGCCACAGCCUCUGAGUUGAACCAGCGCACUCUCUCCCGGUGGUUCUCCCGGAGGUAGAAGGCGUGGGAGAGAGCUGUGCUUCAGCAGGACGUGGUGGGUAUUCGCGUCCCUGCCAUUGCUUACCAGCAGCUGCCUCCACCACGGCGGCUCCUUCAGGGUGACGAGGCGACCGGACAAGCGGCCUUCAUCUUUGUCACCCCAGAAGACCGAUCGCGCCAGGCCACCCAGCGAGGAAGGAACGCCCAGCCCUGGCCUGCCACCACCGUGCCCGCUGCUACAAUACCGCCGUUAGCCCCACGGAUGACAGUGUGAGGAGAAGUACAUCUGCCUAAAGUGCGGACAGCUGAAACAGCGGCAAUUUUGCCAUAGCCGUUUGGGCAACAUCGCGUUCUGCUCCACUGCUGCCGGCAAAUCGGUGCAGGAGUGGUUGGCAGAGAUGAAGGACACUCAUGGACGCUGAUCCACUGGCUGGGUGGAGGACGCUUUUAUUGUAUAUAGUUCUGUGAUCUGCCCUCUACUUGGACCGGUACCUUGGCGAGGUGUAGAGGCUUGCGUGUGCUGAAGACCCUCAGAGCUACAUUGCCUGCAGUCCUUGGACUGAGGUGAAGCACCAGACAAAAGCCGGUCCUGCAAUGGGAACAUUGAAUUGUCAAAAGUGUGCCCUUGGCUGCAUUUGUAAUGGACACUUUUUUUAUAUGGACACAGUAAAGCUCCCAGUGGUGUGCAUCAAUGUUUCCCAUUUUGUAUAGUGCUGUUACUUUAUGUCUAAAGUUCAGCAUAAUUAAGUACGUUUUUAAAACACAAUUGUAUUACAGUGAAGCAGCUUGUGCAUCAAUGUUUGGAUCAUUGCGUAUUGCAAUCAUUGUUUUAUCCAACAAAAUAAACUAGUAAUUGGAAAGGAAAUGCUUGUGAAAGGAAAUGCUUGUCUUGUUUCUGAAUUUAACAAUACUUGAUGUGAGUCUUUCAAAGUAGUCUUUGAAAGUGAGAAUGAUUUUCUUCCUUCUCAUGCAUACAAGUCAAAGCUUCAAAGCUUUUAAUGUCCUUCCUUCUCCUGCAUCACUGACUGUCUAGACAGGCAGGCAGGCAGGGAGGCAGGCAAGCAGUCAGUCACUGUCCCAAGCCAAUUAUCCCUGCCAAAUGUGUUUUGGAUUGUGUACUGCAAUCGCUGUUUUAUCUAACAAAAGUAACUAAAAAAGUCAUCAAUAGAGUCAGUGAAAAGCAAACUCUUUGUCUUUUUUAACUUUGUCUUUUUAUUUCAGUUAAUACAUUGCAUUGAUGUUCACAAUUACUACAUCUCUGUAUAAUUCAUUUCUGCUGCUGAAAUCUGUGUUGUAUAAGAAUAAAACAUACACAGAAAGCCAA